CCCUGCCCAUAUCUCACUCCCCCGCCCAUAUCUCACUCCCCUGCCCAUAUCUCACUGCCCAGCCCAUAUCUCACUCCCCUGCCCAUAUCUCACUCCCUGCCCAGCCCACAUCUCACUGCCCUGCCCAUAUCUCACUCCCCUGCCCAUAUCUCACUGCCCUGCCCAGCCCAUAUCUCACUCCCCUGCCCAGCCUACAUCUCACUCCCCUGCCCAUAUCUCACUGCCCUUCCCAGCCCACAUCUCACUCCCCUGCCCAUAUCUCACUGCCCUGCCCAUAUCUCACUGCCCUGCCCACAUCUCACUCCCCUGCCCAGCCCAUAUCUCACUCCCCUGCCCAGCCUACAUCUCACUCCCC
ensembl:lncRNA